rnacentral:misc_RNA from 1 species
GAUGAAGAACGUAGCGAAAUGCGAUACGUAAUGUGAAUUGCAGAUCUCUCAGUGAACCAUCGAAUUUUUGAACGCACAUAGCGCCCGCCGGUCAUUCCGGCGGGCAUGCCUGUCCGAGCGUCGAUGACGCCGCUCGAGCCCCCGUGCUCGGUGUUGGGGCGCUAGGUCUCCCAGAGGCCUAGGCCCCCAAGUAGCAGUGCGCGGUCCGGCUGCGGGCCCCGGGUACAGUAACUUCACUGUUGAGAUGCCCUGGGAGCCGCUGGCUGUGUCAGCCGUAAAACCCCCGACAUAGGCCUUCCUGUCCGCCCCCGGCGGGGAGGGAGACCGCCUAAUGUUGACCUCGGAUCAGGUAGGACUACCCGCUGAACUUAAGCAUAUCAAUAAGCGGAGGA